rnacentral:misc_RNA from 1 species
AAGUCGUAACAAGGUUUCCGUAGGUGAACCUGCGGAAGGAUCAUCAUAAAAUUUUUCUUGCAUAUUUUUUUAAAAUGUGUAAAAAAAAAUCUUGUAUUCAAAACCCACACUCUUUAAAACCCAUAAUAAAAAAAUUUUUAUGUUAUAUAUACAUGAAAUUUUUUUAUUUAAAAAUAAUAUAAUAAAAAGACAACUUUCAACAACGGAUCUCUUGGCUCUC